GACGAACGCUGACGGUGUGCUUUAGACAUGCAAGUCGAACGAGAAAGCCCUUCGGGGUGAGUACAGUGGCGAACGGGUGCGUAACACGUGGGCAACCUGCCCCUCGCAGGGGGACAACCGGGGGAAACUCCGGCUAAUACCCCGUACGCUUGUCGAGCCGCAUGGCUCUUCAAGGAAAGGUAGCUUCGGCCAUCCGGCGAGGGAUGGGCCCGCGGUCCAUUAGCUAGUUGGUGGGGUAACGGCCCACCAAGGCGACGAUGGAUAGCUGGUCUGAGAG
rnacentral:rRNA from 1 species